GGGUUGUGAGGUUAAGCGACUAAGCGUACACGGUGGAUGCCCUGGCAGUCAGAGGCGAUGAAGGGCGUGCUAAUCUGCGAUAAGCGCCGGUAAGGUGAUAUGAACCGUUAUAACCGGCGAUACCCGAAUGGGGAAACCCAGUGUGAUUCGUCACACUAUCAUUAACUGAAUCCAUAGGUUAAUGAGGCGAACCGGGGGAACUGAAACAUCUAAGUACCCCGAGGAAAAGAAAUCAACCGAGAUUCCCCCAGUAGCGGCGAGCGAACGGGGAGGAGCCCAGAGCCUGAAUCAGCAUGUGUGUUAGUGGAAGCGUCUGGAAAGGCGCGCGAUACAGGGUGACAGCCCCGUACACAAAAGCGCAUGUGCUGUGAGCUCGAUGAGUAGGGCGGGACACGUGGUAUCCUGUCUGAAUAUGGGGGGACCAUCCUCCAAGGCUAAAUACUCCUGACUGACCGAUAGUGAACCAGUACCGUGAGGGAAAGGCGAAAAGAACCCCGGCGAGGGGAGUGAAAAAGAACCUGAAACCGUGUACGUACAAGCAGUGGGAGCNNNNNNNNNNNNNNNNNNNNNNNNNNNNNNNNNNNNNNNNNNNNNNNNNNNNNNNNGGGCGUUAAGUUGCAGGGUAUAGACCCGAAACCCGGUGAUCUAGCCAUGGGCAGGUUGAAGGUUGGGUAACACUAACUGGAGGACCGAACCGACUAAUGUUGAAAAAUUAGCGGAUGACCUGUGGCUGGGGGUGAAAGGCCAAUCAAACCGGGAGAUAGCUGGUUCUCCCCGAAAGCUAUUUAGGUAGCGCCUCGUGAAUUCAUCUCCGGGGGUAGAGCACUGUUUCGGCUAGGGGGCCAUCCCGGCUUACCAACCCGAUGCAAACUGCGAAUACCGGAGAAUGUUAUCACGGGAGACACACGGCGGGUGCUAACGUCCGUCGUGAAGAGGGAAACAACCCAGACCGCCAGCUAAGGUCCCAAAGUCAUGGUUAAGUGGGAAACGAUGUGGGAAGGCCCAGACAGCCAGGAUGUUGGCUUAGAAGCAGCCAUCAUUUAAAGAAAGCGUAAUAGCUCACUGGUCGAGUCGGCCUGCGCGGAAGAUGUAACGGGGCUAAACCAUGCACCGAAGCUGCGGCAGCGACACUGUGUGUUGUUGGGUAGGGGAGCGUUCUGUAAGCCUGCGAAGGUGGCCUGUGAGGGUUGCUGGAGGUAUCAGAAGUGCGAAUGCUGACAUAAGUAACGAUAAAGCGGGUGAAAAGCCCGCUCGCCGGAAGACCAAGGGUUCCUGUCCAACGUUAAUCGGGGCAGGGUGAGUCGACCCCUAAGGCGAGGCCGAAAGGCGUAGUCGAUGGGAAACGGGUUAAUAUUCCCGUACUUGGUGUUACUGCGAAGGGGGGACGGAGAAGGCUAUGUUGGCCGGGCGACGGUUGUCCCGGUUUAAGCGUGUAGGUGUGUGUUCCAGGUAAAUCCGGUUCACUUUAACACUGAGGCGUGACGACGAGGCACUACGGUGCUGAAGCAACAAAUGCCCUGCUUCCAGGAAAAGCCUCUAAGCAUCAGGUAACAUCAAAUCGUACCCCAAACCGACACAGGUGGUCAGGUAGAGAAUACCAAGGCGCUUGAGAGAACUCGGGUGAAGGAACUAGGCAAAAUGGUGCCGUAACUUCGGGAGAAGGCACGCUGACACGUAGGUGAAGUGAUUUACUCAUGGAGCUGAAGUCAGUCGAAGAUACCAGCUGGCUGCAACUGUUUAUUAAAAACACAGCACUGUGCAAACACGAAAGUGGACGUAUACGGUGUGACGCCUGCCCGGUGCCGGAAGGUUAAUUGAUGGGGUCAGCGCAAGCGAAGCUCCUGAUCGAAGCCCCGGUAAACGGCGGCCGUAACUAUAACGGUCCUAAGGUAGCGAAAUUCCUUGUCGGGUAAGUUCCGACCUGCACGAAUGGCGUAAUGAUGGCCAGGCUGUCUCCACCCGAGACUCAGUGAAAUUGAACUCGCUGUGAAGAUGCAGUGUACCCGCGGCAAGACGGAAAGACCCCGUGAACCUUUACUAUAGCUUGACACUGAACAUUGAGCCUUGAUGUGUAGGAUAGGUGGGAGGCUUUGAAGUGUGGACGCCAGUCUGCAUGGAGCCGACCUUGAAAUACCACCCUUUAAUGUUUGAUGUUCUAACGUGGACCCGUUACCCGGGUUGCGGACAGUGUCUGGUGGGUAGUUUGACUGGGGCGGUCUCCUCCUAAAGAGUAACGGAGGAGCACGAAGGUUGGCUAAUCCUGGUCGGACAUCAGGAGGUUAGUGCAAUGGCAUAAGCCAGCUUGACUGCGAGCGUGACGGCGCGAGCAGGUGCGAAAGCAGGUCAUAGUGAUCCGGUGGUUCUGAAUGGAAGGGCCAUCGCUCAACGGAUAAAAGGUACUCCGGGGAUAACAGGCUGAUACCGCCCAAGAGUUCAUAUCGACGGCGGUGUUUGGCACCUCGAUGUCGGCUCAUCACAUCCUGGGGCUGAAGUAGGUCCCAAGGGUAUGGCUGUUCGCCAUUUAAAGUGGUACGCGAGCUGGGUUUAGAACGUCGUGAGACAGUUCGGUCCCUAUCUGCCGUGGGCGCUGGAGAACUGAGGGGGGCUGCUCCUAGUACGAGAGGACCGGAGUGGACGCAUCACUGGUGUUCGGGUUGUCAUGCCAAUGGCACUGCCCGGUAGCUAAAUGCGGAAGAGAUAAGUGCUGAAAGCAUCUAAGCACGAAACUUGCCCCGAGAUGAGUUCUCCCUGAGACUUAGAGUCUCCUGAAGGAACGUUGAAGACGACGACGUUGAUAGGCCGGGUGUGUAAGCGCAGCGAUGCGUUGAGCUAACCGGUACUAAUGAACCGUGAGGCUUAACCUUACAACGCCGAAG
rnacentral:rRNA from 1 species